GGUCUAUGAGCUUUACUGCCCAGUGGUUGAUGCUUAAUUCAGCCACUAGGGAGGGCUGGCCAUGGGGGUUGAGGGGCCGUGGAGAACAGCGACAGAGGUGGAUUUCACCUGAAUGACGGCAGCGGCCGGCCACAUGGCUGUGACUCAGGUCCAGUUUCUCCCUCUCCACCUCUUGCCUUGGAUAAAGUCCAUGUAGGUGACACCAGAGUGCUGACCUGGCUGCCAUUUGAAGGCGCUGUGACCUGUGAUGAGCCACUCAAACCCUGGCUACCACCUCUUGUCUUGCCACCCUGGGGUGAUGCAAUUCCAGCCCAAGGCAAAGGAAAGGCAUUUAUAUCCGCCUGAAAUACUGAAAAUGCCUCCUGUGUUGAGCCAAGACUCUUUCCACUGCAGAUGACAGAAGCACGACUCAAACGGACUCAGAUAAAACAAAGGAUGUGGGGGCUGGUUGGCUCACAUAACUGGAGUCCAAGGUGGGUCAAGCUUCAGGCAUGGUUGGAUCCGGGAGUUCACACAGAGCUGUGCACCCUCCCCUCUGUCCUGCUAUCACUUGACUCUGCUUCUGCUUCUCUUUGCCCUGGUCUCCAUUCUCCCCUGCUUCGGAUUUCCCCCACCAAGUCCAGACAUACAUGCAGCUGCCUCCAUGAUAGCUAAGAUGCAUCUUUCACACAACAUGGCCGCAACAGAACUCUUUGGCUUUCCCUGUCCCCAAACCUGUUUCUCCCCCACCUUCCUGCAGCCCAGGAGUAGAGCCACAUCUCCCAGCUACUCAAGCCCCGUUUAGAGCGGUCCUUCUUUCUCCUCUUUCUCCCACAGCCACAUUCAAUCCAGCAGUAGGUCCUGCCGGCUCCACCUCCACACCAGAUCCCCAACCCUCCUCUUCCCUCCAGCUCCUGGCUGCUCCACCCCUGAUCUG
rnacentral:lncRNA from 1 species